rnacentral:rRNA from 1 species
GAUGAACGCUGGCGGCGUGCCUAAUACAUGCAAGUCGAGCGAACGGACGAGAAGCUUGCUUCUCUGAUGUUAGCGGCGGACGGGUGAGUAACACGUGGAUAACCUACCUAUAAGACUGGGAUAACUUCGGGAAACCGUAGCUAAUACCGGAUAACAUUUUGAACCGCAUGGUUCAAAAGUGAAAGACGGUCUUGCUGUCACUUAUAGAUGGAUCCGCGCUGCAUUAGCUAGUUGGUAAGGUAACGGCUUACCAAGGCAACGAUGCAUAGCCGACCUGAGAGGGUGAUCGGCCACACUGGAACUGAGACACGGUCCAGACUCCUACGGGAGGCAGCAGUAGGGAAUCUUCCGCAAUGGGCGAAAGCCUGACGGAGCAACGCCGCGUGAGUGAUGAAGGUCUUCGGAUCGUAAAACUCUGUUAUUAGGGAAGAACAUAUGUGUAAGUAACUGUGCACAUCUUGACGGUACCUAAUCAGAAAGCCACGGCUAACUACGUGCCAGCAGCCGCGGUAAUACGUAGGUGGCAAGCGUUAUCCGGAAUUAUUGGGCGUAAAGCGCGCGUAGGCGGUUUUUUAAGUCUGAUGUGAAAGCCCACGGCUCAACCGUGGAGGGUCAUUGGAAACUGGAAAACUUGAGUGCAGAAGAGGAAAGUGGAAUUCCAUGUGUAGCGGUGAAAUGCGCAGAGAUAUGGAGGAACACCAGUGGCGAAGGCGACUUUCUGGUCUGUAACUGACGCUGAUGUGCGAAAGCGUGGGGAUCAAACAGGAUUAGAUACCCUGGUAGUCCACGCCGUAAACGAUGAGUGCUAAGUGUUAGGGGGUUUCCGCCCCUUAGUGCUGCAGCUAACGCAUUAAGCACUCCGCCUGGGGAGUACGACCGCAAGGUUGAAACUCAAAGGAAUUGACGGGGACCCGCACAAGCGGUGGAGCAUGUGGUUUAAUUCGAAGCAACGCGAAGAACCUUACCAAAUCUUGACAUCCUUUGACAACUCUAGAGAUAGAGCCUUCCCCUUCGGGGGACAAAGUGACAGGUGGUGCAUGGUUGUCGUCAGCUCGUGUCGUGAGAUGUUGGGUUAAGUCCCGCAACGAGCGCAACCCUUAAGCUUAGUUGCCAUCAUUAAGUUGGGCACUCUAAGUUGACUGCCGGUGACAAACCGGAGGAAGGUGGGGAUGACGUCAAAUCAUCAUGCCCCUUAUGAUUUGGGCUACACACGUGCUACAAUGGACAAUACAAAGGGCAGCGAAACCGCGAGGUCAAGCAAAUCCCAUAAAGUUGUUCUCAGUUCGGAUUGUAGUCUGCAACUCGACUACAUGAAGCUGGAAUCGCUAGUAAUCGUAGAUCAGCAUGCUACGGUGAAUACGUUCCCGGGUCU